rnacentral:piRNA from 1 species
CUCCAGGGACUGACAGAUGCUGAGGAA